CAAGAUCCUUCGCGCGCUCUGCCCCCCCCCCCCAACCCCUGCAGCGAACCCUCAAGUCCUGGGAAGGUGGCCUGCGCGGUGCGCUCCGGCGGGGCAGCUCGCGGCUCGCCGGCCCCUGGGCCGCCUCCCAUAACCCGGUUAGGGCGCUGGGGCCGCUCCAGUUCUCGCCGUCGAGGAGGGAGCCCUCCCUUCAACAGCCGGUGAGGAUCCCGCGAGACCCACGGACUCGCCCUGCGUGGACACCGACACCAGCAAAAACUCGGCGGAUGAUUUUGGAAGUGUCAGGAAGCAUCACCUUAACACACGUGUGUGUGUUGUUGUUUGUAGAUUUUACUUAUUUAUUCGAGAGAGAGGCAGAGACACAGGCAGAGGGAGAAGGCAGGCGCCCUGCGGGGAGCCGGACGCGGGACUCGAUCCCAGGACCAGGGAUCACGCCCUGAGCCCAAGGCAGAGACGCUCAAGCGCUGAGCCACCCAGGCGCCCCUAAUGGCUGCUUAUUAAGCUCCUUUCCAGAAUGACGUUCUAGAAUUAGAAAUUAGAAAGACCCUCGCUCCCUACCAGCUGGCGGAGAGACAGAGACACAAAUACCACAGUGUGAGAAGCGCCCCAGCAGCCGUCCAAGGGGCGCACCUUCGGCGCCAGCGCCUCAGCCGCUCAGCCUCCGCCUCCAGAGCUCCGGCUUCCCUCCCGACGUCACCCCUCCGCGUCCCAGCACCGCUCGCGCCGGAGUCGACCACGUGACGCAGGCUGGGCCAAUCAGAGCUGCUGAUUCCCGUGGCCAUAGUGAUUGGCUCAAGAAUUGGCAGGUGACCAAGCCGGACCAAUGAGACUCGAUUCUGGGGCUUUUGUGGGGCUGCUGAGAGCGUGAAGUCGUGCGUUGAGCCUGAAGUAAGAAGGGUCAGGUGAGGGGCUCCGAGGGGCUCCUGGAAACUGCUGAGAGAGAGGCUGCCCGAAGGAAGGCAGAGCCUAUCCAGAGCCGGAAGCAGGGUCCCAGAGGCACGGUUUAACCCUUUGUCCCAGCUAUGUCUGAAGCCAGCUCUACCCCCCGGAAUUUCCCACCACAAAAAACCAUUAAGUCCUGCCCUCCGUUUUUUUCCUAAGCCACCUGCUACCAAGUCAUGCCCUGUGUCGGGUCCGUGCAAGACAAAAGGAGGCGCAGGGCAAGAGGUCAGCCACUGCAGGAGAGGGUCUGGAAGGCUCCUGAAGAAGGAGACCUAUGAUUUAGGUUCUGAGGGAUAAGUUGACGUUUGUUCUUUGACGAUCAAGGUGGGACAGGGCAUUUGAGACAGAGGAAGUGACUUGGCAGUGGCAGGACAGUGAGACAUGGGAGCCCUUUGGAGUGGCUGGAGUGUGGGUCAGAAGAAAAUGAGGCUGGGAAAUAACGAGGGAUCAGAUCAUCGCGUGUCGAGCGCCAGGCUAUGACCGGGUGCUUUUCCACUGUGGGUGCUGGGGAGAGGAGCAGAUGCUGUGUGUGGUAGGCAGAAGAGAGAUAGAGCAGGCCUCCCUAGAGCUGUGGGGAUUUAAUGCACGUCUCUUACUGAAAGUGCCCCCCUCCCAAGCAGAUAUCUUAAGGAUUUAAUAUGCUAAGAUUUUAGCUGGGAACACGCUCUGAGGACAGGGGCACAGCUGAGACCCGAAAUCAUAUAGCCCAGCUUGGCAGCCGAGAUUAAUGAAAUCCGUGUUUAGCAUUCACGUGGAGGAGAGGCAGGCAUGAUGGGAAGAAGGGAAUGGGAGAUGUGGGUGGCAGCUUCGGUGUGCGCUCCCUGCCCUGAGCAGUUCCACUCUGGUCCUGGUAAGAUAGAGUCCUGAAGUUACUGGGCCACCCUCCUUAGCCUCCAAUGGGGCAAGCUUCUCAGGAACCUCACCGCUAUCUCAACGACUUCUCAAACCCAUAGAGUCCUCCCGGUGACAUUUUAACAGUGCUUAGACAUGUGUGCCUUAGACACCUCUUACUGUCAACAGGGGACCCCGUAAGAAGCAGGACUCAUGAACUGGAUCAAAAGGUGUGAGUGGAUUGCCUAAGGCCACACAGCCUGGAGUUGACCUCAUCUCCGUGUGGUUGAUCACAUGGUCCAAGACCAGCAGCAGCAGCAUCUGUGAGCUUAUUAGAAAUCCCUGGCUCUGCCUCUGACCCACUGAGUCAGAAUUUGCAUUUUAACAAAUCCCUUGCUGAUCUGUAGGAGACACUGCUGGUGCUCCACCCAGAUCCCCAUCACCAAAGUGGCGCACCGCCUCCCGGCUUCUGGAAGUGUUGGCUGCUGACAGCUCCCAGCUGCACCUUUCCACUGAGCGUGGCUUUCAGCCAACAGGAGCCUCCCUGGGGAAUUUCUGAGACCUUACACUCUUCCGGUGGGAUGGAGGAACAACCCCUCCAGUGUUGCUCAUGCCCCAGAGCAACUUGUAGACUUUUCCUGAAACCACAUCCUUGGGUCAAUUUCUUUCCUGCCUCAUCUCGCUACCCUCCCCCCACCCUCUAGUUACAAUUGAGCUCUCCCGCAAGAGUGAGGCUAAGGCUUUGCCUUGAGGAAACCUAACCUAAGGCAAUGCAUGUAUGCGCUUCAUGAGAUGGAAGCCUCUUCCAGGCCUGGACUCCAAAGCCCUCUCAAACAUUCCUGCCUUCUGUUUACCUUUUCACCAGCUUGACACAAACAACCAAGUGGAGAUAAUGGGGUCACAACAUGGAAGAAGCUCUAUCUCCAAAUCACUGCCUGGAGGAGAUGGUUUUGAAUUUUACAUGAGUGAGAAAUAAACCUAGAUCAUAUUUGAGCCAUGA